rnacentral:rRNA from 1 species
GAUGAACGCUGGCGGCGUGCCUAAUACAUGCCAGUCGAGCGAACGGACGAGAAGCUUGCUUCUCUGAUGUUAGCGGCGGACGGGUGAGUAACACGUGGAUAACCUACCUAUAAGACUGGGAUAACUUCGGGAAACCGGAGCUAAUACCGGAUGAUAUUUUGAACCGCAUGGUUCAAAAGUGAAAGACGGUCUUGCUGUCACUUAUAGAUGGAUCCGCGCUGCAUUAGCUAGUUGGUAAGGUAACGGCUUACCAAGGCAACGAUGCAUAGCCGACCUGAGAGGGUGAUCGGCCACACUGGAACUGAGACACGGUCCAGACUCCUACGGGAGGCAGCAGUAGGGAAUCUUCCGCAAUGGGCGAAAGCCUGACGGAGCAACGCCGCGUGAGUGAUGAAGGUCUUCGGAUCGUAAAACUCUGUUAUUGGGGAAGAACAUAUGUGUAAGUAACUGUGCACAUCUUGACGGUACCUAAUCAGAAAGCCACGGCUAACUACGUG